UUUAAUUGAAGAGUUUGAUCAUGGCUCAGAUUGAACGCUGGCGGCAGGCCUAACACAUGCAAGUCGAGCGGC
rnacentral:rRNA from 1 species